UAACUUGUUCAUGUGGCAAUAGCACAUCAGU
rnacentral:piRNA from 1 species